UCCUCCUUAGCUCAGUUGGCUAGAGCGUCUGACUGUUAUUCCACGAAGGUGAAAAGAACAUCAGGAGGUCCACAGUUCAAACCUGUGAGGGGGAG